rnacentral:rRNA from 1 species
GACGAACGCUGGCGGCGUGCUUAACACAUGCAAGUCGAACGCUGAAGCUUGGUGCUUGCACUGGGUGGAUGAGUGGCGCACGGGUGAGUAAUACGUGAGUAACCUGCCCUUGACUCUGGGAUAAGCCUGGGAAACUGGGUCUAAUACUGGAUACGACAUGUCACCGCAUGGUGGUGUGUGGAAAGGGUUUUACUGGUUUUGGAUGGGCUCACGGCCUAUCAGCUUGUUGGUGGGGUAAUGGCUCACCAAGGCGACGACGGGUAGCCGGCCUGAGAGGGUGACCGGCCACACUGGGACUGAGACACGGCCCAGACUCCUACGGGAGGCAGCAGUGGGGAAUAUUGCACAAUGGGCGAAAGCCUGAUGCAGCGACGCCGCGUGAGGGAUGACGGCCUUCGGGUUGUAAACCUCUUUCAGCACGGAAGAAGCGAAAGUGACGGUACGUGCAGAAGAAGCGCCGGCUAACUACGUG